rnacentral:rRNA from 1 species
CCUACGGGAGGCAGCAGUGGGGGAUAUUGCACAAUGGGGGAAACCCUGAUGCAGCGACGCCGCGUGUGGGAAGACGGUCCUCUGGAUUGUAAACCACUGUCCCCAGGGACGAAGAUGACGUUACCUGGGGAGGAAGCUCCGGCUAACUACGUGCCAGCAGCCGCGGUAAUACGUAGGGAGCGAGCGUUGUCCGGAAUUACUGGGUGUAAAGGGAGCGUAGGCGGGACUGCAAGUUGGGUGUCAAAUCUACGGGCUCAACCGGUAGCCGCACUCAAAACUGCAGUUCUUGAGUGAAGUAGAGGCAGGCGGAAUUCCUAGUGUAGCGGUGAAAUGCGUAGAUAUUAGGAGGAACACCAGUGGCGAAGGCGGCCUGCUGGGCUUUUACUGACGCUGAGGCUCGAAAGUGUGGGGAGCAAACAGGAUUAGAUACCCUUGUAGUC